UCGCGUCUGCUGUGAAAUCCCGAGGCUCAACCUCGGGCCUGCAGUGGGUACGGGCAGACUAGAGUGCGGUAGGGGAGAUUGGAAUUCCUGGUGUAGCGGUGGAAUGCGCAGAUAUCAGGAGGAACACCGAUGGCGAAGGCAGAUCUCUGGGCCGUAACUGACGCUGAGGAGCGAAAGGGUGGGGAGCAAACAGGCUUAGAUACCCUGGUAGUCCACCCCGUAAACGUUGGGAACUAGUUGUGGGGACCAUUCCACGGUUUCCGUGACGCAGCUAACGCAUUAAGUUCCCCGCCUGGGGAGUACGGCCGCAAGGCUAAAACUCAAAGGAAUUGACGGGGACCCGCACAAGCGGCGGAGCAUGCGGAUUAAUUCGAUGCAACGCGAAGAACCUUACCAAGGCUUGACAUACACCAGAACAUCGUAGAAAUACGGGACUCUUUGGACACUGGUGAACAGGUGGUGCAUGGUUGUCGUCAGCUCGUGUCGUGAGAUGUUGGGUUAAGUCCCGCAACGAGCGCAACCCUCGUUCUAUGUUGCCAGCACGUAAUGGUGGGAACUCAUGGGAUACUGCCGGGGUCAACUCGGAGGAAGGUGGGGAUGACGUCAAAUCAUCAUGCCCCUUAUGUCUUGGGCUUCACGCAUGCUACAAUGGCCGGUACAAAGGGCUGCAAUACCGUGAGGUGGAGCGAAUCCCAAAAAGCCGGUCCCAGUUCGGAUUGAGGUCUGCAACUCGACCUCAUGAAGUCGGAGUCGCUAGUAAUCGCAGAUCAGCAACGCUGCGGUGAAUACGUUCCCGGGUCUUGUACACACCGCCCGUCAAGUCAUGAAAGUCGGUAACACCUG
rnacentral:rRNA from 1 species